rnacentral:misc_RNA from 1 species
AGCCGACCUACAGCAGUGAAUCUUUCAGAUGCAGUAACGAAACUUAAAGAAGUUAUAUCUAAGACUGCUGCUACUGCUUCAGAAUCCAAGGAUGUUUUUCAGGCUUACAUAGAAGCUGCUGAAAUUAUGCUUGAAGAUGAUGUUGCUUCAAACAAAGCAAUUGGGUCUCAUGGAGCAACUUUUAUUCAGAAUCAACUGAAAAACUCUGACUGGCUUUCUAUUCUGACCCAUUGCAAUACUGGCAGCCUUGCAACAGCUGGGUAUGGUACUGCUCUAGGAGUGAUUCGUGCACUUCAUACUGAAGGAGUGUUAGAGAGGGCCUACUGCACAGAAACGCGUCCUUUCAAUCAAGGAUCUAGACUCACAGCUUUUGAGUUGGUGCAUGACAAAAUACCUGCUACUCUUAUAGCGGACUCUGCUGCAGCUACAUUAAUGAAAGAUGGUCGAGUGAGUGCUGUAAUUGUUGGAGCAGAUCGUGUGGCUGCAAAUGGAGAUACUGCUAACAAGAUUGGGACCUACAGCCUAGCCUUAUGUGCAAUGCAUCAUAACAUUCCAUUCUAUGUUGCUGCACCGCUGACCUCCAUUGAUUUAUCCCUUUCUUCUGGGAAACAAAUUAUUAUAGAGGAAAGAUCACCUAAAGAAUUAUUAAAUUCACGUGGAGGACUUGGAGAGCAAGUUGCUGCACCUGGGAUUUCUGUCUGGAACCCAGCUUUUGAUGUUACCCCUGCAAAAUUGAUAAGUGGUAUCAUAACAGAAAAGGGGGUCAUCACUAAGAUAAAAAAUGAUGAUUUUGACAUUGAGAAUUUUGUAAAAGGGGCAGCUGGGCAGUCUGUUGCAUAGGAGAGACAUCUGCUGCUGAGCAGAAUGGAUGGUAUGCCAAAGUGGUCAGCAUUUUUAUCAGCACGUCAUAUAGCUGCUAAUAUCAAGGGCAUAUACCCUUUGAAAGAAUGCUGGAAUAAGCCUUCUGUGAUGUCUUGAGUGUUAUUGUAAUAAUUGUAACUUGCUUGUAAAGCCAAGACCUUUUGUUGGGUAUUUUUGGCGAAGAUAAUAAGGGUGCCCAUUUUGCUCUC